rnacentral:rRNA from 1 species
UGGGGAAUUUUGGACAAUGGGGGAAACCCUGAUCCAGCCAUCCCGCGUGUGCGAUGAAGGCCUUCGGGUUGUAAAGCACUUUUGGCAGGAAAGAAACGUCAUGGGUUAAUACCCCGUGAAACUGACGGUACCUGCAGAAUAAGCACCGGCUAACUACGUGCCAGCAGCCGCGGUAAUACGUAGGGUGCAAGCGUUAAUCGGAAUUACUGGGCGUAAAGCGUGCGCAGGCGGUUCGGAAAGAAAGAUGUGAAAUCCCAGAGCUCAACUUUGGAACUGCAUUUUUAACUGCCGGGCUAGAGUGUGUCAGAGGGAGGUGGAAUUCCGCGUGUAGCAGUGAAAUGCGUAGAUAUGCGGAGGAACACCGAUGGCGAAGGCAGCCUCCUGGGAUAACACAGACGCUCAUGCACGAAAGCGUGGAGAGCAAACAGG